rnacentral:rRNA from 1 species
GUGAACCUGCAGAAGGAUCA